AUCCCAGACUCCUACGGGAGGCAGCAGUGGGGAAUAUUGCACAAUGGGGGGAACCCUGAUGCAGCGACGCCGCGUGAGUGAAGAAGUCUUUCGGUAUGUAAAGCUCUAUCAGCAGGGAAGAAAAUGACGGUGCCUGACUAAGAGGCCCCGGCUAACUACGUGCCAGCAGCCGCGGGAAUACGUAGGGGGCAAGCGUUAUCCGGAUUUACUGGGUGUAAAGGGAGCGUAGACGGCAGAGCAAGUCUGAAGUGAAAGCCCGCGGCCCAACUGCGGGACUGCUUUGGAAACUGCCCGGCUAGAGUGCUGGAGAGGUAAGCGGAAUUCCUAGUGUAGCGGUGAAAUGCGUAGAUAUUAGGAGGAACACCAGUGGCGAAGGCGGCCUACUGGACGGUGACUGACGCUGAGGCUCGAAAGCGUGGGGAGCAAACAGGAUUAGAUACCCCAGUAGU
rnacentral:rRNA from 1 species